AGCAGACCUGCAGAGGGGCCAGAAGACACCUGGCCGGGUGGGGAGCAGCCCCUCCGUAAUAACAAUCGGAACCUGGGAAGAUAAGUAGAGUCCCAGGGGAGGGACAGAGUUUCCCCUGUGUCACCACAUGGCUACUUUGACACAAAUGCACGUGGGCAGAGAGAGGCAUGCAGGUCAAGGGCCUGGCAGGGAGUCAGGGGCCCUCAGUGCCAGUCCUGGCUCUGCCUCUGCCUCUGACACGCCAUGUGACCUUGAGCAAGUCACCACCCUGUCUGGGCUUCGCUAACCCAUAUACGGAAUGAGAAGGCGGCAAAACUGAAUCCCAGAGAGAAGACUCACUCAGACACAGCUAUCUGAACACUCUUUUCCAGUUCCCCUAGGGCAGCAGAGGAAGCAAGGUGGGGGGAAGCCAGUGGUCAAGGAUUCCAUGCGGAAUGUACCCUAGAAUUAACCCAUGGAGAGAGGGUAAGGGAACGGGCUCAGGCCUGGGAAGAAGUGGGGAGGACAGUGUCCUGUUGA
rnacentral:lncRNA from 10 species